GGAGAACACCGUCAACACCAGUACGAAACACAUCACGCCGCCGCUCUACAGUUUCUGCCUCGGUCAAUACCACGCGUUCAACAGUGCACUGCGCAUUAAAAUUUUAUUUUGCUUCCCUCUUUUUUUUUUCAACGUCUUCUUCUUCUCCUUCUUCUUCUUCUUAUCUUUUAAUUUCUUUUCCUUCCCUCCCUUCUCUCAACCAAAAUAGAUGCUCGUGAUUGUACUACAGGAUCAUCUACAUUGCCGGAGGUAACUGAUGCUGACGGUACACCGUGGGGUAUGGUAAUUCGAUACCAAGGACAAGGCUGCACUUCCACGUAUGGACAAGAAAUAAGCCUCACAGUCCCGCAGUAAGAUUAUCCAGCCGCCGACUAUAUCUAUACAUCGUUUCCAGGGAAACCUUGCGGCAAAUUUUUCUUAUUUCUCUUUCUUUCAAAGGAUCAGGUUUACUGGCCAAGUGACCCUGCUCGAGUGCUCGCCGUUGCUGCGGUUUGUGCUGCCUGGCUGGCUGGGUGGCUGGAUGGCUGGAUGGCUGCCUGGCUCUCUGGAGUAUGGUCACGUGAUCGUCCAGACGGUACGGGGCUUUGGGAUGGCUGCUGGUUGUACAUACCUACAACGUUAUACGUAGU